GCCAGUUGUAGCGACAGAAAAAUGGCUUGAUAAGUCACAGGAGGCAUCCGUGUAGGAUUUUCUAUGUGUAUUAUAAUAAACAUUUAAAUGACAAACAUGGAAUAAAAUGCCGUCGUUUAAAAAUGUUUUGAAUGGAGCUGGAGGGAAAGCUCAGCAGCUAAAAGCACUUGUUCUUGUAGAGGGCGGGGGAGGGGGUUGGUUUCUAGCAUCCACAUGAUAGCUCACAACCAUCUGUAAGUAAGUCCAGCUUCCAGAGAUCCGACCCCCUCCCUCCUGUGAUAUACCUGGACACUAGGUAUUCAUUGAAAGAUUAUAUGUAUAUGUGAGAGUGAUCUGGAAUGAUCCCGUUUUGGUGUUAAAAUGUGUGUAAUAGGAUGUAUGCUAUGUGUAUUAUUCAUGUUCAUCUAAUGUUCAUAUAAAAUUGUAUGUCUAAUGAAGUUUAGGCAGAUUUGGAAGCACAUACAUUAACGCAGUGUCAGUAGUUUUAUGUUAAUAGAGAGACCACAGACUGUUUGGGGGGCAUUUCCUAACCUUUUCAAUUUAUAUAUUUGUUUUGUAAUAACAGGGGAAGGAAGAAAAAAUUAAAAUGUAAAAUUCCUCCAGAAGCCUGGUGUGGAGCCCCCGUGUGGCAACAAAGAGCCCGCGUGGCCUGUAGGGGUGUGAGAAGAGACCAGUCAGUAGAAUGUACCCUUCUUAAUGCGUAAAAAUCGGAUUUCUCCUGGGGACUUCCUUGGGGUAGCCACAUUUGCCACAGGGAGACUUCUGAAGGUGGAAGGCCUUAGAGCCACGGCGCAGCGUUCCUUUCGUCAUCUUGCUUCUGCCGCCGAGGCCAAAGAGACCGGAAGAGCCCUUGGGUGAGUCCUUACUCUUAAUAUUUGGAGAGGCUGGUUCCCCAACUCUAAUUUUCCUCUCUUCCUGCUAACUCAGCUGCGUUCUGAGGUCUCCAAAGUCCUGGGAUUUAUUGCCUCUCAAAAGAAUUGCCUGGAUCCCCUGAUGUCACUUGCCUUUUGGAGUCAGUCCUUCAAAGGGUGAUGUCCAUCUCAUUCUUAUUACAGGGAACAGCUUUGGCAUCUGCCCCAGCUCCUUUCCUAUUGUUUCCUUUUGGUAGCUCUUCCAGGGAGAUUAUUACCCUUUCAACACAUCCCCUUUGCUGCGGUGGACUGAAGUUUUCUAAUCUGGAGGGAAUUUGAUAAGGGAAACACCCGACUAGACUACAAUUGUAAAGAGACCUUUAAUUGCUGCCCAGUGUUUCAGGACCCCAUUGUGCUUCACGAGCCUCAUGCUAGUGUCACAGCUUUGUACAGAGUUCAUGCCUCCUGUUUAAGGAGCUAUGGUGGUAAACUAUGUGGUGGUGGUGGUGGUGAUUGCCUCUAAUCUCAACACUCAGGAA